CUCUAAACUGUCCGUCACCUGGAAAACUUUACACUUCACUAAAAACUUUUUAAAAAGGCACAAACAAAGUGUCAAAAUUGGCAAAUUAAAUAUUAUUUGGACGCGCGUUGUCGAAUAAGAAGCAAUCUCUUCAAGCUUCUUGUAUUUUAACUUUUUUUUAGAGAUAAUUUUCAAAGCAUUAUCCAUUAGCAUAUUAGCCCAAAUGAAUAACAUGAAAUCUGAUGACUAUAACUUUAACCAACUUGAAAUUUAAAGACAACUUAAAAGCACGACAUUUAGCGUAUAUUGUGAUAUUUGAGUUUAGUUUUAUUUUAGUCAGGAUGCCAUAGCGUGUAUUUAAUAGAUAGAUUUAAUCAAAUACUUAUUUCUUUUCAUAAAAUAAUAUAUUCUCUGCACAGUCGAUAAUUUGUUCCCAUUGAAUUUUAAUUUAACCUUCAUGUGGUCCAUCCUGGGAUCUUCGCUCCUGGCUAAAAUGACUGAAGAAGGUAUCACUGGAUUUGUCAAGAUUUGACUUGUAACUUGGUCUGGUGGUCUGGUCACAUGCUUGUCUCCAUGAAGAAAACAUCAGGUUUGAUUCUAUUUCUAACCAUAACCUUAACCUAACAUAAGAUCUACUGUUCAAUCAAUCAAUUUUAAAUGGCUUUGGGACCACUUUGGAAACCACUGAUCUAGCGGAAGGGCAUUUUCUAUGGACAGGGAAGGGAAUCUGGCAUGAAACAAAGCAUUACCUCCAGGACUGAUAAACUUGGCUUGUUUUUCGACUUUGUCGGCUGGUACUUCCUGUUUAGGUUGUUGAAGUCACGUUCCAGGUGGUUUAGCUGGUUAUAUCUUGAAAACUACGUCAUUUUUGGAUUUUUGCCAAUUUCUUCCCCCUUGACAAAUUGCCUUAUCCUUAAAGUUUACAUAAUUACUUGUUCAACAGUGGCUUUUUAACUCAGUAAUGUA
ensembl:lncRNA